GCUUGCUCCGCCCACCGCCCACCGCCCCCCGCGCGUCACAGUCAUUUUCAGCCACAUAGUCGGAUGUCUUUAAAAGAUGAUCCUGAGUGAUUAUCCGCUGGCGUGAGGUCUCCUAAGAUCUGAAUACAUCACGAGGGACCCAUGUUUGAUGUGCCCAAAUGUCAAGGGUGAUGUUGUCCAAAGAGCUGAGUGAACCACAAGCAUUGCAGUUCAAUUGUUAUUGCACCAAAACUUUGCUGGCACUUGAGGAGCGACCCCAUACUGCGUGGCAAAGUGUGUGAAUGCGCUGUGCCAAGCUCGGUCUUGGCGCCACAAUUCCCCUCUUGCGAAAUUUUGAUGAAUCUGAUCCCUUCCCGCGAUGCACGAAGGCGGAGUUUGGCCGCACGUGAGCGUGUGUGGAUGUGUGUUCAUACUUCUCCCCAAAGGCAGCCGAGUUAAGCAAAAAAAAAAAAUAAAAAAAUCUCCAAAACUGAAAUAAUUAACAGCUUCAUUCCUGUUUCAAAAAGCUUAUCGUCCCCCCCCAACUUUGGCUCCAUCUCACCCUCCUGCAUGACGUUAAUGAUGAUGAUGAAAAUCAUCUUGGGGCGUAAGGCACCCUUUCGCCAAGAGAAGAUUUGCACUGACACCAAUACACACACACACACACACACACACACACUGGCACACGCAUAAGCAAACAAACUCCACACAAUGUGUUCUUCAUUAACCGGCUCGCUCCUUUCCAUUUGCUGCCGAGGGGUGCAGAAGCCGCAAAGGAGAGGAAAGAGGAGGUAAAGUCAGAUGUGUAUAAGUGUGUGUUGUUGUUGUUGUUGUGACGGAUGCGAAUGCCUCAAGCAGCUACAACCAUCUUACUUUACAUUUUCACAACGUAACACAUCAAUAAUGCAAAUUCUGUCGUGAUCCUUUCGAGCGCUACCCCCUCUCUUGUCAGGCAUUGGAUUCGUCCAAUUUGUUAGUGUGCAUGUGCAAACUUGAUUUGUGGGAAAAAAAAA